GUUGCCUUUCUGACACCGACAGGAAGAGGUGGGCUCAAUGUUGCCAGACGUCAGAACCAAGAACUCCGCCUUCAGCUGGAGAUGGUAGCGGGCACGGAAGGCCACAAGUCGGGCAUAGUAGGCCGGCGCAGGGAUGGAGACUGAACGGGUACAACGAACGUACGUGUGGCACAACUGAUUUGUCAGCACAGAAGAGGCGUGUGUGGUGGCGUUUCUGGACCACGAUGUAGGUGAUACCAGGCUGGUAAUCCUUCUCCAGCUUUAUGCAGGCGUCUCUGAUAGCCAGGAGCU